rnacentral:rRNA from 1 species
UACGGAGGGGGCUAGCGUUGUUCGGAAUCACUGGGCGUAAAGCGUAUGUAGGCGGAUCAAAAAGUUAGAUGUGAAAUCCCUGGGCUUAACCUAGGAACUGCAUUUAAAACUAGUGAUCUAGAAUUUGGUAGAGGUUAGUAGAAUUUCCAGUGUAGAGGUGAAAUUCGUAGAUAUUGGAAAGAAUACCAGUGGCGAAGGCGACUAACUGGGCCAUUUUUGACGCUGAGAUACGAAAGCGUGGGUAGCAAAC